rnacentral:rRNA from 1 species
AGUGGCGGACGGGUGAGUAACACGUAGGUAACCUGCCCCGGAGCGGGGGAUAACAUUUGGAAACAGAUGCUAAUACCGCAUAACAACAAAAGCCACAUGGCUUUUGUUUGAAAGAUGGCUUUGGCUAUCACUCUGGGAUGGACCUGCGGUGCAUUAGCUAGUUGGUAAGGUAACGGCUUACCAAGGCGAUGAUGCAUAGCCGAGUUGAGAGACUGAUCGGCCACAAUGGAACAGAGACACGGUCCAUACUCCUACGGGAGGCAGCAGUAGGGAAUCUUCCACAAUGGGCGCAAGCCUGAUGGAGCAACACCGCGUGAGUGAAGAAGGGUUUCGGCUCGUAAAGCUCUGUUGUUGGGGAAGAACGUGCGUGAGAGUAACUGUUCACGCAGUGACGGUAUCCAACCAGAAAGUCACGGCUAACUACGUGCCAGCAGCCGCGGUAAUACGUAGGUGGCAAGCGUUAUCCGGAUUUAUUGGGCGUAAAGCGAGCGCAGGCGGUUGCUUAGGUCUGAUGUGAAAGCCUUCGGCUUAACCGAAGAAGUGCAUCGGAAACCGGGCGACUUGAGUGCAGAAGAGGACAGUGGAACUCCAUGUGUAGCGGUGGAAUGCGUAGAUAUAUGGAAGAACACCAGUGGCGAAGGCGGCUGUCUGGUCUGCAACUGACGCUGAGGCUCGAAAGCAUGGGUAGCGAACAGGAUUAGAUACCCUGGUAGUCCAUGCCGUAAACGAUGAGUGCUAGGUGU